GAGCACGUUAACUAAAAGAACGUACUUGCAAUGUUCACUAGUACAGAAGGUGGGGGGGGGGGGGAGAUGGGGGAAAAAAGAAUGACAUGUUGGAGGGGAAACUCACCCCAACAAACCCUCUCAUCAUUCAUUAUCUGAAUUGUUUCACUUGCUUCCUUAUAUCUCUUGAGCUUUUCUUUUUAGAAAAUUCAAAUCUUCUGCCCUUUCUGCAGAGAGCUGUACAUAGGAAAGAUGUACAUUCUCUGCCACACCUCUCACGAAGGCAGGAGGAAAUUGAGCACCAAUAUUGCUGAUAAGCGCCUCCCUUCUCUUUUCUGCUUGGCUCAGAUCUUUUGAAUUUAGUCAACAGAAGAAAUGUGAGGCUUCCUUCCUUCUGGACUCAUCUAUUAAGAUGUUUUUUUCCACCCCUGAUCCAGACUAUACAUUCAUUUCACGUUGUAAGAGAGAAGCAGACUGGAGGAAUGUUUGUUCCGAAGUUGGAAGGCAAAGGAAGGGGCUGCCCUUCCCACUGCUACAGAUGGAGGUCUGCUACACAUUAGGAAACACAGGCUUGCAUAAAAGAUGGUAAGAUUUUAAAAAGAUGGAUUUUAUUAAGCACAAAACAGCUUUCAAUACAUUAUCCAUACAAAUUGGAAGAGGGUGGGGGGAAACCAACUAUAAUGAAUUUCAAAGAUUUGAUGGGCAGGAUGUAUAUUGGCACAAUAAAAGGGACCAUUUGAAAAGUAAUACAAAUUAUAACUAUAGGGUCACCACUGUCUAAACAACAGAUAGCUUGCCUACAGCCUAAAAAUACUACAUCAUCUGAAGAAUAAAGAGAAUUACUAUUCUGUACGGAACUUGUACAGUGGUGCCCCGCAAGACGAAUGCCUCGCAAGACGAAAAACUCGCUAGACGAAGAGACUCGCGGAACGAAUUCUUUUCGUCUUGCGAGGCACCACUGUACUUAUUAGCACCAUUCAAAGCUUGCAUCAGCUGCUUAGGCAAAGAAGCACCCGAGCUUCAGAGAAAGAAGGGUUCAGUGCAAUAUUUUCAGUUCCUUUUGAUAAUAUUUAAAGUCUAUGGUUUCAUAGCAUGUUAAAUAAUUAUGGCUUGGUAGAAAUACACUGUUAAGAUGUAGAGUAAGUUUUUACUUCAAGAAGGACGGGAUUCUUUCAUAACAGCUGUAGAAAUGCGUUUUAAUGUAUUAUGGCAGGCGCAGAAUGCAGAUGACAUGCUGG